rnacentral:SRP_RNA from 1 species
CUUAGGUCCUCUCGCAACGCUAAACUGCAAACCCCGCCAGGCCCGGAAGGGAGCAACGGUAGCGGUGGCUGCGUGUGCCGGGAUGUGGCUUUUGGGG